rnacentral:rRNA from 1 species
GACGAACGCUUGCGGCGUGCUUAACACAUGCAAGUCGAACGGAAAGGCCCUGCUUUUGUGGGGUGCUCGAGUGGCGAACGGGUGAGUAACACGUGAGUAACCUGCCCUUGACUUUGGGAUAACUUCAGGAAACUGGGGCUAAUACCGGAUAGGAGCUCCUGCUGCAUGGUGGGGGUUGGAAAGUUUCGGCGGUUGGGGAUGGACUCGCGGCUUAUCAGCUUGUUGGUGGGGUAGUGGCUUACCAAGGCUUUGACGGGUAGCCGGCCUGAGAGGGUGACCGGCCACAUUGGGACUGAGAUACGGCCCAGACUCCUACGGGAGGCAGCAGUGGGGAAUAUUGCACAAUGGGCGGAAGCCUGAUGCAGCAACGCCGCGUGCGGGAUGACGGCCUUCGGGUUGUAAACCGCUUUCGCCUGUGACGAAGCGUGAGUGACGGUAAUGGGUAAAGAAGCACCGGCUAACUACGUGCCAGCAGCCGCGGUGAUACGUAGGGUGCGAGCGUUGUCCGGAUUUAUUGGGCGUAAAGAGCUCGUAGGUGGUUGAUCGCGUCGGAAGUGUAAUCUUGGGGCUUAACCCUGAGCGUGCUUUCGAUACGGGUUGACUUGAGGAAGGUAGGGGAGAAUGGAAUUCCUGGUGGAGCGGUGGAAUGCGCAGAUAUCAGGAGGAACACCAGUGGCGAAGGCGGUUCUCUGGGCCUUUCCUGACGCUGAGGAGCGAAAGCGUGGGGAGCGAACAGGCUUAGAUACCCUGGUAGUCCACGCUGUAAACGGUGGGUACUAGGUGUGGGGUCCAUUCCACGGGUUCCGUGCCGUAGCUAACGCUUUAAGUACCCCGCCUGGGGAGUACGGCCGCAAGGCUAAAACUCAAAGGAAUUGACGGGGCCCCGCACAAGCGGCGGAGCAUGCGGAUUAAUUCGAUGCAACGCGUAGAACCUUACCUGGGUUUGACAUGGAUCGGGAGUGCUCAGAGAUGGGUGUGCCUCUUUUGGGGUCGGUUCACAGGUGGUGCAUGGCUGUCGUCAGCUCGUGUCGUGAGAUGUUGGGUUAAGUCCCGCAACGAGCGCAACCCUUGUUCACUGUUGCCAGCACGUUAUGGUGGGGACUCAGUGGAGACCGCCGGGGUCAACUCGGAGGAAGGUGGGGAUGACGUCAAGUCAUCAUGCCCCUUAUGUCCAGGGCUUCACGCAUGCUACAAUGGCUGGUACAGAGAGUGGCGAGCCUGUGAGGGUGAGCGAAUCUCGGAAAGCCGGUCUCAGUUCGGAUUGGGGUCUGCAACUCGACCUCAUGAAGUCGGAGUCGCUAGUAAUCGCAGAUCAGCAACGCUGCGGUGAAUACGUUCCCGGG